AAGUCUUAACAAGGUUUCCGUAGGUGAACCUGCGGAAGAAUCAUUCAUAAUAAGUGUUUAAUGGCACUUUUUAAAUCCAUAUCCACCUUGUGUGCAAUGUCAGUCGGUUUUCUUUUUCGUCAAGAAAAAAAGGAUCGACCAAACAUCAACUUAUUCUAAUUGGACUUUUGUCUGAAAAAUAUUAUGAAUAAACUAAUUCAAAAUACAACUUUCAACAACGGAUCUCUUGGCUCUC
rnacentral:misc_RNA from 1 species